UGGACAUAUUUAAUUCAUAAUGCAUCACAAGGACUAUGGCUGUCAUUGGUCUUUCCUCUUAUUGGGACACGUCUCCCUACUCUGAGAAAAUACAGUAAUGACUAGGGUUGUCACGGUGUGAAAAUUUAACCUCACGGUUAUUGUGACCAAAAUUACCACGGUUUUCGGAAUUAUUGCCGUAUAUUUUUAAACGUGUUACAUUUUCAGACAACUACAUAAACCCUGUAUAUCAGGAAAAUAUUGUCCUCAGUUUGUGUCUAAAUUUUGCCUAAAAUGUGUUAUUUUGUAAUCAUGUUGUUUAUUUGUUUACAUUUUUCCCCUUUAGUCUUUAAAAUACCAAUAUUUGCCCAUAACUUCGUAUUUUUUGUCUGUUUGAUGUCAUCAUUUUAAAAAUAUUAGAUCAGAUGAUACUCAGUACUCAAGUAGCCUUCUAAUCAGAUACUUUUUUACCCUUACUUGAGUAAUAAACCCUAUAUCAGGAAAAUAUCAUCUUCGGUUUGUGUCCUUCCAGUGAGCUUUGCAGAUUUGGGAAAAUGUCAUCAGGCAGUAAUCAUUGUUAAAUUCAUAAUUAUUCUCGGAGAGAGACCAACUCUUAUCUGCCGCUGGGAGCCCGGUAAUUCUUUGAUUUAAUUUAUUUGUUAAGAACAUCAAGAUGCAUUACAGUGAACAUUAUAAUAAAGUAACAUUUUCCAGUGCAGAGAGGAGACAACCCAUAGCACAGAUUUGAUCUCAUUUCAGAGAAAAAUAGAACAGGUCAGAUGCACCUUAUAAAUAAAAUUACUAGGGAUGAGCCGGAUACUCGUUUCAGACGAGUAACCGAUAUGGAUAAAGCAUUUUUGACGAGUACGAGCAUGAAACGAGUAAAACUCAUAAAUAUCUGUAAUCGUGCUGAAGGAAAAUCCUCAUUGGGUAACUGACUGUCUUCACGCUCUGUGAUUGGCCAGUCACAUAGAGCGCCCACCCCUCCCUACACACAAAACUGCAGCCGGGAGCUCACAGCUCAGUCCGCGUCCGGUCCAUCCAUGCACACACACAGACAGUAACGGAUCUCUCUGUGCUUGCUUCACUGUUUAUGUUUCUUCAGUACUCCCUAUGUUUUCUUCAGUUUGCUUCUUUUUAAAGUUACUUCAAAGUUAUUUAAAGUUACUUUUUUCGUAACGUACGUGGUGCAUGUGACAAGACAGAGCUGAAAAUGGCUCGUGCUGCGUCAGUAACUGCCUCCGUUCCAGUUGUUUUUUUUUUCUUCUUUCUCUCUCCUCUUCCUCAGGAUCCACUCCCUCUUUCCUAUUCACUCUCUCUCUUUCUUUACAUUUUUUAAUCACAAUUGUCUAUUUUUUGCACAUUUUAAAUAUAUUUUAAUCAUUUUCUAAAUUCUUUUCUAUUUUACAUGUUUUGUUUUUGUGAAGCGCCCCGUGAUUUUUAUCUUGAGAGGCGCUAUAGAAAAGAUCUUUUCUUCUCUCUCUCUCUUAAUUCAUGCACUUAAAGAGCAAGUAACGUCUAAAUUAACUUUUUUUUGCUGAUGAACUGUAUAAAUGAGUGUCUAAUAGUGUUUUAAAUGUGUGCAUUCUUUAUUUUAGCAUUUUGGUGCAUUUUCUUUAAAAAUUAAAAAUUCUGUCUAAAAACCACAGUAAUGCGCCACCUUCAGCUGAAAACAUAGAAUUUUAGUCAUUUUGAAUAAUUUUUAGCCAAUGGCUAAAGAGUAAAGUACUACGUAAACCAGUAGAGUACUACGUAUCAGCUCCGUGCCAAAGUUAUAAAAGCAACGAGCGUCUCGGCCACGCCCUGUGGCGAGUGGGAGUUGGAUUUGCAAGCGAGCAUAGGAGGUCAGCGGUAGUUCAGCAUUAGCAUAUAGCAUUAGCAUAUCCUAGUCUUUAGCAUAUCUUUUAGUGUUAUAAAUACUUAUUUAGUGUUAGAUUUGGCUGUUGGAUAUUGUAGUUUAGUUAGUGUUUGGCUGUUAGUGUAAUUGGGAAAGUAUUUCGGGUUUAGUGUUCCAUAUCGUCUUAGUAUUGGUGAGUAGGUGUAGUGUAGUAUGCUUGCGGUGACUCUGUGGGCAUUUUACCCGCGAUUCUGCACGCCUCCGUUUGAAGAGGGAGGCUGCCCACCGUGGCUCUUCCGCGAUUUAGAUGCAGCCCACCGACUCUGCUCCCCCACCACGGCGGGCUCCAGUCUGAGGUGAGUCAGCUAAAUAAACGUUUUAACAUCUUCUAAAGACAAUUCCCUACCUAAAUGCAAAGUCUGAGAGACGUGGUUCACUUCCUUUAGCUAGUCAGUCGGCAAUUCUGCUACAGUGUCUCUAACUAACGCUGCACUAGUUGACAGACAUCAUUACAGCGUGAAAUCCAGCUUGUGAACAGGUUCUGUGAGGAAUUCUGUUCAGGAGGUCGCAUUUCAGGCUCUCCACAUCACAUGUGACUGACUUUUACGUUAUAACAACGAUCACACACUAGGAAUGUUAUAAAGCGCCUAUAUAGGAGAUUCUUUUGUAUAUUAUCUGACUUUAUAAACUCCCAACAACAAUGUGCUUCUAUUUUUUUUUUCAGGCUAAAUCUACCCAAGACACUGGCUGUCAGACUGAUUUAGCUGCAUGAAUGUACUUUUCCAGGCUGAUGUGAAACCUUCCCUGUAGCAAAGCCAGCCAGAAUGGAGUUCACAGCCGCAGUGUGUCUGGUGACCCACAGGGACCAUGAUGAAAAUUCAUCUUCCAGAAGGUCCCAGAGCAUCCACACCCCCUGAAAAGACCAAGAUGUGAGGUGUCUGCUGUUGAUUCCAGCUUCCACCUCAGUGACAGUGCAAGCUCAGUGAACUGUUCAAGCCUGGCUGAUCACCUGAUAACCCCUGUCAUCUGGUUAUGACAGCAUGAGGAUGUCCUCACACACCUGUAACCUAUCAGCUCAUCCUGCUGAAUAGAGAGAGAAGAGACCACACCACAUCUCCUGUUCCUGGAAAGCCUUCAGCCAUCCUUCGAUGACUGAGAACCUCCAUCAGCUCUGUCUCCUGUCUGCCUACAAUUAUUAUAAUAAAUAUUGUGUUUGACAAGUUUUUUGUGCUGCCAAAUAUCUCAUUUAGAUUCGUUUUGAUAUUUUAAUGGAUAUUUAUAAAUUACAUUGAAUAUCACAUUUUUGUUGCAUGUUUAACUAGCUAUUGUGAUUAAUUAAACUAGCACCUCACUGUUAAAAGCUCGUUCUAAUUUCAAGCAUGUUUAAGUAUUUAUGGACAUGAACAAAAACAGGAAAUAUAUAAAUUGAGAUUUAUUUAAUUAAUAUAACAAAUAAGGGGGAAAGAGUCAUUGAAAGGCACGUUCUUCUGAAAGUUCCUGAUCCUGAUGACACCAGCAGAGGAGACCAGCUGCAGACAACAGAGGACCUAGAACCAAGAGAGCAGCUGUUAUCAGUAAAUAAAUAAAGAAAUCAGGGCAGUUUUAGUGGGCUGAACACAUUACAGAAUAAUUUUCUCAUGGGGUAUUUUCAUAACUUUAUAUGCAGCAGACUGUAACUUGAGCCCAGAGCUACCGGAGAGCUGCUAUCCAGCAUGUUUCAGUGGAUUUUCCUGCUUUAACAGGUUAGAUUAGCUGUUAAGCAGCUCAGCUAUUUGUUGCUGAUUAAAACCAGGUGUGCUGAAGCAGAUAAACCUCUAAAACAUGCUGAAUACUAGCUUUUUAGGGCCGUGGAGACAAACCCUGCAGCUAAUCCAAUGCUAUGGCUAACGGCUACUUACCUUUCAGAGGUGAUUCUGUUGGGUCGGUUCUGGGAGUUUCAGGCAACUCACAAGCUCAAAACAAUAAGACUCAGGUCCGCUUGUCUCCUCCAAAUAGACUUGGUCCCUUUCUUCUCGAGUGUCUGUGUAAGGAGGGGGAGAAACGUCCUCCACUUCUAAUAACUGCUCAGAGUGAAGGGAGCUAGCUUCGUCUAGUUAGCCAUCGUCUUCGUCACUGCCGCGGCUCCGCCCUCUCGGUCCUCCAGGCAACGCCUACUAAUGUUGCAUUUUUUAAAAUUGAUACGUGGGUGGAGAAGGACUCCGAGGCUCAAUUGACCCGCUCUUUAAAUAUUAAUGUCCUGAUUUUAUUGAAACACUUGUUCUGCAACAGUUCCUUUACUAUUGUGAUCAAAAACAUUUAAUCUCAAUUCUGAGGCUGCUCUGUAAAUAGUUUUCAAAUAAACAAUACACAUAUCAACUUCUGAUCAGACUUAAAAUAACGUAUUGAUGUAAACCACACCCACUUCCGGUCAAACUACACCCACUUCCGGGUGAGGCCACACCCACUCCGAGUACAGAUACAGAUAAUUUAGAUGGUUGAACAGAUACAGAUAGUGGUGUACUCGCUCACCCCCUAAAAAUUACUAACAAACUCAAGAAUCUGUUUCUUUGCUUCAUUGUUCUGGUGCUGAAAAUAUCACUAAUGCGGAUCAAAGGAGAUACACAGAUGAAUGCAUCUCUUAUUUAUUAUUUGGAAAUUAGGUGGUGCGGUUUACAUCAAUACAUUAUUUUAAAUCUGAAAUUGAUAUGGAUUGAUCAGAAGUUGCUAUGUGUAUUGUUUAUUUGAAAACUAUUUACAGAGCAGCCUCAGAAUUGAGAUUAAAUAGUUUUGAUCACAAUAGUAAAGGAACUAUUUCAGAACAAGUUUUUCAAUAAAAUCAGAACAUUAAUAUUUAAGUGCAUGAAUUAAUGCAUCUGAACUCAUGCAGUAGGGACCAGCAAAUAUGAAAUACUAGAACCAUUUUAUUUUAAUUUGAUUAAACUGAUUUUUUCCUAACGUGUUUGGCAUUUUUCCCACACACAGUAAAACAAAACAAUGUUGAUUGAGGUGUGUGUGUGAGAGAGAGGGAGAGAGUUAAAAUAAUUUAAAAAAAAAUACCCCGACCGGAGCGGAGGCAGUGACCGAUGCAUGCACGAGCCGUUUUCAGCUCUGUCUUGUCAAAUGCACCACGUACGUUACGAAAAAAGUAACUUUAAAUAUUCAAGCGAAAAGAGGCAAGCUGAAGAAAACCUAGGGAGUACUGAAGAAACGUCAGCAACAGUGAAGCAAGCACAGAUCCGUUUUAAGCCGGGCGUACACUGUGCGACUUUUUCACUCUUUUGAGCCGAUUUUCCACUCGUGCGAGAAUCCACAAGAUCGGGGCGAGUUUUGCGCCGAGCGUCGUGUAGUGUACAGGGGGUUACGAGAGGCGAUUAACACCACGUGACCAGCUACCGAUCAGCAAUCGUGAGCUCGCACGAACUUCUGGCGUGUUUGAUAUUUUGCUCGUCCCUCGUGAGGGUAUCGCACUGUUGAAGCGGCGCUGCGAGCAGCUGCGACCCAAAAAGUAUCAGAACCGCUCACGGCGCAUGCGCAAUCCUGCAUCAACACCGCUCACCCGCUAUUUCCCUAAUAACACACUUUGUUCGUUUUUAUUUCUACACGGUUUUUUACUCACAAAGAUUGUCUAGAAAGCGUGUUUGUCGUGUUCAUGUCAAAUUAAACUGAUCACAAAACACAGAUUUACUUUCUUUAUUUCGUUUUCCUCAUCCAACCCCCAUAAAUCCCUGUGUGUCCUCCUGCAGCACUCCCGAAGGACAACAGGCAAGACAAAAAAGUCUGACGUGUUGUGUAAAAACUGCUAUUUUUAGCAUAUUUUUAGGUCCGACGUGUUGCUACCAGACGUACAGUGUGAGCAGUCAGGUCGCAUCCGAGAACUGGGUCGUACAGUGUGAGCACAUGACUCGUGAGAUCUGCCCUGCGAGGAAGUUGUGCAGUUUGAGCUGAAGCUGAGUGCUACGAGUGAAAAAGUCGCACAGUGUCCGCCCAGCUCUGUGUGCGUGUGUGUGCGUGGAUGGGCCGGAUGGACUGAGCUCCCGGCUGCAGUUUCGUGUGUAGGGAGGGGCGUGCGCUUUAUGUGACUGGCCAAUCACAGUGCGUGAAGACAGUCAAUUACCCAAUGAGGAUUUUCCUUCAGCACGAUUACAGAGAUUUACGAGUUUUACUCGUUUCAUGCUCGUAUUCGUCAAAAAUGCUUUAUCCGUACCGGAUACUAGUCCGAAAUGAGUAUCCGGCUCAUCCCUAGCUGUAACUUCACCCUGUCCUGCCUGCUCCUCCUUGCUGCCUGCCGGCUGUGAUCACAAGCAACAACAGAGUAGUUCCCGCUGCUUCUUCGGGAAACAGCGCAAAAAAAAAAUCAAUAAAACUUGGGAUCUUGUAGGCGUGGUGCUGGGAUUUCAGCCGUGGCGGCCGCCACGGCUACGCCUAUGUAAGGGAAACACUGUACAUGAAAUGAACAAUAAAAAGCUUUGUUGUUGCAGAUUUGUUGUACAUCUGUCGGUUUUGGGUUUCCAGAUCUGAGGUUUGAAAAAUAAAAUGGUAACAAAUAGUAGAGGCUUCUGGCUCUGCCUAUUAAAACAAAUUGAAUCAGAAGCACUUGAAGCAGACAGACAAAGUGCUGCUGGGAUGAAUGGAAGCUACAGCAUCUCAGCUGUCUGGCUGUGAACCAGCGGGGAGGCCACAGGGCUGCUGUUGGAGGACCUCGCCUUUAUUUCCUACAAUUGCUUUUCUCCCGUCUGCGUGUAAAAGAGGUUGAGAGCGCUGUCUUGUUUUUCCUGAUUUGGAUCGACGCUCUCUGCCCGCAUGUGUGUUUGCUUGCCUGCGAGCCCCCACCCCCCAUCUUCCUCUGGCCCCCCUCUGACCUACGCUCUCUCUGCUCUGUUUUCAUUGCUGCAACUGAAGUGUCUUUGUGAGCUGGUUGGGGUCUGGACGGAGGGAUGGGAAGAAGAGUAGAGAGGGAAAUAGAGGGGAGGGUCUCAAGUGCUCUCACUGCUUCUACAUAAUGGCCCCGGCUCUCGUCCACUCCAUUAGUUGCCCCAGGAAACCAGACAUCACACACACACUCGUAUGUCCUCUCACCACCUUUGCUGACCAACAAAGCCUCCUGGAUGCUGUCUCCUUGGUGACCACCUCCCUCAGAUACUCUGGUGGCUGUGAUGAUGGAGGCUGUCGUCUAGGUGGAAAUGCUUGAUCACAAGCGAGCUCUGCUGAAGCCUCCCGUACAGACGGCUGAUGUAAAGGUUUACCUCCUGCUCCCAUCUCACAGGGUGACCGUAGUUCACUUCUAAUUUAGUUUGAGAAAAACAAAGUUUGAUGGUCAACAGCCAGAGCUUGUGCACAGAGCCGUGUCAUUAUGUAACUCUAAACCUCUCUUCCAAUACGUUACUUGAUCUUCUUUGUGGUGUCAUUUGAAUUUUUAUGGAGCAGAGCGGUGCAGGAAAACAGUUCAGCUACCGCAGUGUUUCCUUCUUUUCCCAAAGAAGUGAUGUCUAAAUAUAGCCAGUCUGGGAAAGUAUGGAAUUCAUUCAGUGUUUUCCAGUUUUCAAAUAUAAUAAAGAAAAUAAAGCAUCCAUGGAAAACAUUUGAGGUUCUAACCUCCUUCCUGUUAAAAGUUUCUUACCAGUAAAAGACAGAAUUACUAAGAUCAAACGGCUCAAACACGGAGAACAUUUGUCGCAUAAAGUUCGUCUUGUACCACCUGGUUCACGCAACAGGUUAACCAUGCCAAGUCUGAACCAGAUCUUCCUCUUCCGUCAUUUUUAAGGAUCUUAAGAUGGCUACCGGAUUGACUCUAAAGAUAAUCUUUUCAGAUUUUCCUACUGUGUGUGGUGUGUUGAGACCUCUCUGGUCUGAUCAGAAGCACAUCGAGCUCACAUCGAUAAUAAAUCGGUGCUUUCAAACAUCCUGGAUUGAUCUUAAGAUGGCUACCGGAUUGGCUCUAAAGAUAAUCUUUUCAGGUUUUCCUACUGUGUGUGGUGUGUUGAGACCACUCUGGUCUGAUCAGAAGCACAUCGAGCUCGCAUCGAUAAUAAAUCGGUGCUUUCAAAUAUUCUGGAUUGUCUUCGCCAGAUUUUCAAGAACAAAUAAAUGUGCUGCUUGUUGAACGUGAUGUGCAGCCAAUCACAAUGCAAGGUGGCGGAAGCACGCAACACACCCAUCCAUGUUUGUUUACUCUGAAGUCAUGUUUGAUCUUGUGAAGUUUCCCAUCUGAGCGGGAAUGUCUGUAAGGCCGCUUGCACACUAGCAUCGACUCCGCCCCAGCCUGGCUGUGUUCGUUCCAUAUUCCCCUAGGAAUGCGGACAUGAAUGAGCACACGGGCACUCUGGUCUGUGAUGUCAUGGGCGUGUCUCCGGGCACGUGGGCGGGACAAAGGUGCACAGAGAAGUCUGCGGUGUCUCCAUUGUUAAACAAAAGCAGAUUGAGCAGUCUUGCAAACUAAAUGAAAAUGCUUAAGCCCGGUCCAGGCGGAGUAGAGCUGAUGCUAGUGUGUAAAUGCCAUAAGUGAAGUGUAGUGUUGGCCACGUUGCAGCACACCUAACUGUGGGUAUAUCCGUGAUUUUUGUCACCACGUGUGCAUCCUGUUAUCUUUGGAAAAUUGAUCAACAGUUUAAAAAAUCCUGCCGUGUGAACCGGGCUUAAUCUGCAGCUGUGUGAAUGAGAAUUAUGUUUCAGACUUUAUAAACCUAGAAAGUUUUAAAAGAUGCUGCAUGUGUUUGGAUGUCAGUGCAGUUCAUCAAAAUCCGUAUUUUAGUCUGCUAAUUGUCACAAAUUGCUUCCCCAUUAGCGUGCUUUUGAUCAAAGUAUGGAUUUCUGAUUUUAUCCAAUUAACUGGUAAAGUCAUUUCACAUCAUAUUACACAGUCUAGUUCAGGGUGGAGAUUUCUGUGUGUUAGCAAGGUCACUUGGUGCUCUUAUUUUGAAGGGCCGCACUGUAGAUUUUCCUGUGUGUUUUUGUGUAAAGGACCCUCUCAGGAAACAAAUAAACUGUCUGGUGUCGUCCUUCC